AAGUCGUAACAAGGUUUCCGUAGGUGAACCUGCGGAAGGAUCAUUAACACGCAUUUAAAGCAUCCAAUAUCAAAAAUCACAACCAAACGGUCAACUAUCUCCUCCCUAUUUCGCACACCGGAGACGGUACGAGUAGGCUAACAUGUAAAUAACAUUAACAUUUGUUAUGAAACAAACACAAGAUAACCCCUUUUAAUUAUAUUGUUCAUUAUAAUAUAAUAUAAAACAACUCUUCGAUUUGCUUCUCUUGAGAAGAAAAACGAACUAAACUAAAAUAUACAUUCGAUAUAUUUUUAUUUUACGAAAUAAUAUAUAUUUAUAAGAACAACUCUUAGCAAUGGAUAUCUUGGUUCUC
rnacentral:misc_RNA from 1 species